UACGUAGGGUGCAAGCGUUGUCCGGAAUUAUUGGGCGUAAAGAGCUCGUAGGCGGCUUGUCGCGUCGAAUGUGAAAACUCGGGGCUCAACCCCGCGCUUGCAUUCGAUACGGGCAGGCUCGAGUUCGGUAGGGGAGACUGGAAUUCCUGGUGUAGCGGUGAAAUGCGCAGAUAUCAGGAGGAACACCGGUGGCGAAGGCGGGUCUCUGGGCCGAUACUGACGCUGAGGAGCGAAAGCGUGGGGAGCAAACGGG
rnacentral:rRNA from 1 species